AUGAACGCUGGCGGCGUGCCUAAUACCUGCAAGUCGAGCGAACAGACGAGGAGCUUGCUCCUUUGACGUUAGCGGCGGACGGGUGAGUAACACGUGGAUAACCUACCUAUAAGACUGGGAUAACUUCGGGAAACCGGAGCUAAUACCGGAUAACAUGUUGAACCGCAUGGUUCAACAGUGAAAGACGGUCUUGCUGUCACUUAUAGAUGGAUCCGCGCCGCAUUAGCUAGUUGGUAAGGUAACGGCUUACCAAGGCAACGAUGCGUAGCCGGCCUGAGAGGGUGAUCGGCCACACUGGAACUGAGACACGGUCCAGACUCCUACGGGAGGCAGCAGUAGGGAAUCUUCCGCAAUGGGCGAAAGCCUGACGGAGCAACGCCGCGUGAGUGAAGAAGGUCUUCGGAUCGUAAAACUCUGUUAUUAGGGAAGAACAAAUGUGUAAGUAACUAUGCACGUCUUGACGGUACCUAAUCAGAAAGCCACGGCUAACUACGUG
rnacentral:rRNA from 1 species